rnacentral:rRNA from 1 species
GAUGAACGCUGGCGGCGUGCCUAAUACAUGCAAGUCGAGCGAACGGACGAGAAGCUUGCUUCUCUGAUGUUAGCGGCGGACGGGUGAGUAACACGUGGAUAACCUACCUAUAAGACUGGGAUAACUUCGGGAAACCGGAGCUAAUACCGGAUAAUAUUUUGAACCGCAUGGUUCAAAAGUGAAAGACGGUCUUGCUGUCACUUAUAGAUGGAGCCGCGCUGCAUUAGCUAGUUGGUAAGGUAACGGCGUACCAAGGCAACGAUGCAUAGCCGACCUGAGAGGGUGAUCGGCCACACUGGAACUGAGACACGGUCCAGACUCCUACGGGAGGCAGCAGUAGGGAAUCUUCCGCAAUGGGCGAAAGCCUGACGGAGCAACGCCGCGUGAGUGAUGAAGGUCUUCGGAUCGUAAAACUCUGUUAUUAGGGAAGAACAUAUGUGUAAGUAACUGUGCACAUCUUGACGGUACCUAAUCAGAAAGCCACGGCUAACUACGUG